AAGUACUCUUGAAUAUGUCUUUUCACACCUCUAAAUAUUAAGGUAUGGAAAAAUGCUUAAAAAUUUCAUUGGAUGGACCAGUAUUAAUGCCACAUUCUUCGUACAACUUUGCCAUGUGUUACACUUUAACUAUUUCAAAUUGUAAGUAGUUAAUUUUUGAAGUAGCAUUGAUAGUUUCAAAAUUGUUUGGUUUUGCGAGGUGUAAUUCUAUUGACUAUUGGACUCAAUUGGAUGAACCAUGAUAGUGGGGAUGCAUGGGCCCAAGUACUAUCGAAUACAUCUUUUUAUACCUCCAAAUAUUGAGUUAUAGAAAAGUGCUUUAAAUUUCAUUGGAUGAACCAGUAUGAAUGCCACUUUCUUUGACCAACUUUUAUAAUUCUGUUCCACUUAGUUAUUGCCAUGUGUGGUACUUUUACUAUUUCAAAUUAUGAUUAUUGAAUUUUUGUAGAAGUAGCAUGGAUUGUUUCGUAAUUGUUUAGUUUUGCGAGGUGCAACUCUAUUGACUAUUGGACUUGAUUGAAUGGACCAUGCUAGUAGGGAUGCCUGGGCAGAAUUACUUUCGAAUACAUCUUUCCACACCUUCAAAUAUUGACGUACAGAAAAAUGCUUUAAAUUUCAUUAGACGGACCACGUGAAUGCCACCUUCUUCUUACAACUUUUAUAAGUCGAUACCAAUUAGUUAUUGCCAUGUGUGAUAAUUUGACUAUUUUGAAUAAUUAUUAUUGAAUUUUUGUGGAAGCACAAUUGAUAGUUACGUAAUUGUAUGGUUUUGCAAGGUGUAACUCUUUUAACUAUUGGACUCGAUUGAAUGGACAAUGCUAGUAUGGAUGCCUGGGUCAAUGUACUAUCAAUACGUCUUUCCACACUUCCAAAUAUUGACUAUCGGACUCGAUUUGAUAAACCAAGCUAGCAGGGAUGCCUAGGCCCAAGUACUUCCGAAUACGUCUUUCCGCACCUCUAAAUAUUGAGGUACAAAAAAAUGCUUUAAACUUCAUUAGAUGGACCACGUGAAUGCCACCUUCUUCGACC
rnacentral:lncRNA from 1 species